rnacentral:rRNA from 1 species
UACAGAGGUCCCAAGCGUUGUUCGGAUUCACUGGGCGUAAAGGGUGCGUAGGUGGCGAGGUAAGUCGGAUGUGAAAGCUCGGAGCUCAACUCCGAAAUGGCAUUGGAAACUACCUUGCUCGAGGGUUGGAGGGGGGACUGGAAUCCUGGUGUAGCGGUGGAAUGCGCAGAUAUCGGGAGGAACACCGGUGGCGAAGGCGGUUCUCUGGGCCGUUACCUGACGCUGAGGAGCGAAAGCGUGGGGAGCGAACAGG